rnacentral:rRNA from 1 species
UAUGGGGGGGGCAAGCGUUGUUCGGAAUUACUGGGCGUAAAGGGCUCGUAGGCGGCCAACUAAGUCCGACGUGAAAUCCCCAGGCUUAACCUGGGAACUGCGUCCGAUACUGGAAGGCUUGAAUCCGGGAGAGGGAUGUGGAAUUCCAGGUGUAGCGGUGAAAUGCGUAGAUAUCGGGAGGAACACCAGUGGCGAAGGCGACUACCUGGCCUGUUCUUGACGCUGAGGCGCGAAAGCUAGGGGAGCAAACGGG